GACGAACGCUGGCGGCGUGCUUAACACAUGCAAGUCGAGCGAUGAAAGCCUUAUGAACUAUUCGUAGUGAUUGGGGCCGGAUUAGCGGCGGACGGGUGAGUAAUGCGUGAGCAACCUGCCUUAAACAACGGGAUAGCCUCGGGAAACCGGGAUUAAUACCGUAUGAGACCCCGCCUUCACAUGAAGAAGAGGUUAAAGAUUUAUCGGUUUAAGAUGGGCUCGCGUCUGAUUAGCUAGUUGGUGAGAUAAAAGCCCACCAAGGCAACGAUCAGUAACGGGUUUGAGGGUGUAAACGGUAACAUUGGAAGGGAGACACGGUCCAAACUCUUACGGGGGGAAGCAGGGGGGAAUAUUGCACAAUGGGGGAAACCCUGAUGCGGCGACGCCGGGGGAGAGAUGAAGGAAUUCGUUUCGAAAAGCUCUGUCCAAGGGGAAGAUAUUGACAGUCCCCUGGGAGGAAGCCCCGGCUAAAUACGUGCCAGCCGCCGCCGUAA
rnacentral:rRNA from 1 species